rnacentral:rRNA from 1 species
GACGAACGCUGGCGGCGUGCCUAAUACAUGCAAGUCGAGCGGACAGAUGGGAGCUUGCUCCCUGAAGUCAGCGGCGGACGGUGAGUAACACGUGGCAACCUGCCUGUAAGACUGGGAUAACUCGGGAAACCGGGCUAAUACCGGAUAACUCUUUUCCUCACAUGAGGAAAAGCUGAAAGAUGGUUUCGGCUAGUCACUUACAGAUGGGCCCGCGGCGCAUUAGGCCUAGUUGGUGAGGUAACGGCUCACCAAGGCCACGAUGCGUAGCCGACCUGAGAGGGUGAUCGGCCACACUGGGACUGAGACACGGCCCAGACUCCUACGGGGGCAGCAGUAGGGAAUCUU